GGGGAAUAUUGCACAAUGGGCGAAAGCCUGAUGCAGCAACGCCGCGUGAGUGAUGAAGGCCUUCGGGUUGUAAAGCUCUGUCUUCUGGGAAGAACCAGUACGUCAGGCAAUGGACGUACCUUGACGGUACCUUAUUAGAAAGCCACGGCUAACUACGCGCCAGCAGCCGCGGUAAUACGUAGGUGGCAAGCGUUGUCCGGAAUUAUUGGGCGUAAAGCGCGCGCAGGUGGUUUCUUAAGUCUGAUGUGAAAGCCCACGGCUUAACCGUGGAGGGUCAUUGGAAACUGGGAGACUUGAGUGCAGAAGAGGAAAGUGGAAUUCCAAGUGUAGCGGUGAAAUGCGUAGAGAUUUGGAGGAACACCAGUGGCGAAGGCGACUUUCUGGUCUGCAACUGACGCUGAGGCGCGAAAGCAUGGGGAGCAAACA
rnacentral:rRNA from 1 species